AGGAUCACGACCUGAGCCGAAGGCAGACACACAACCUCUGAGCCACCCAGGCGUCCCCCUAUUUACCUUUUAUUAUCAUUUGAUGAAGAGAGGAAGAAGUUUGAAGCAAGGGAAGGAAUAUCUUGAUAAUUGAUACUUGGCAUGCUUUAUUGAGUCAGGAAAUCCUACAUUAACUCACAGAACAUUGUAUUAAAUAUUCUAUUUAAUAUACAUUCCUUUAACCCAUACUAUGUACCAGGUUUUGAUCUAAGAACUUAACAUACACUCUCUCACUGAAUCCUCCAAAUGGGCCUAUAUUGUAGCUCUUCCCUACACUCAUUUUUAGUACCCUCCACAUUUUACCACUUUUCUGGGUAAGUCCUGCAGGAGUUGGAAAGAGGAAGAUUCUACCCUUAUGAAGAGAGUAGAGAAACUAAUAACUGCCAACGGUAUAUUAUCUCAGGCUAGAUAUUUUGUGUGUAUCAUCUAAUAAUAAUAAUAUUAUUAUUAGAUUAUUAUUAAUAAUAAUGCAACAGCCCUAUGAGGUGGGUUAUACUUUCCUCAUUUUAUAGAUGUUGAAAUAAACUAAAGAAGUAAAUAAACUAGCCCAGCAUCACACCACUAGUUCAGGGUGAGACUAGGAAUCUAAUCCAGGCCUAAUUUCAAACCCCAUAUAUUUUUCUCAGCAUCUUGAUAUAUAUGGAUAGGGAAGAUAAUAUUUUUGCAUGUUCAAGUAUAAUACAAGUAUAAUACAAUAUAUUGUAUUUUAUAAUACAAUAAAAGAACAUAGAUAAAUUGCCACGGGAGUUAAGAGGAAGAGGGAUUACUCCUAGUCAAGAGGUCAUGACUGUCCUCUUUGAAGAGGUAGCAUCCAAAAUCGAGCUUGAAAGUUGGUAAUGUGGGCAGAUAGUAUGGGGGAAGAAGAUUCCAGGCAGAGGGAAGAGCACAAGGACAGAUUAUGACAGGAUGAGGAUACCAUGAAUAGUUUGCAGAGAGGGGUUUGGGGUGGAGUUUUGCCUGGGUUGGAGGGACUCUCUGGUCACCAGCAUUCUUAGAUUUGCCAGUGCGUGGUUAUAGUAAAAAGUAGAGUAACUCUUAAUUUCAUUAUUGAUUUUAAGUCCUCUACAAGACAGUGCACCCUCUUUAUCAUGUGUGCUGAGAGCAGAGCACUCCCACCAGCACCUACCCUUUGGUAUGACACUGGCAGCUGGGUGGGUUUGGUAUUUCAGUGACAGGAUCUACUCAGGAGAAUUGGGGCAAGGCUGGCUGAGGUUCUCAAGGAGCUGAAUUUUGGGUUCAGGUGCCUGCGUGGCAGUGGAAUGAUGCUUCCUGACCUUUCAGACUUUGAGACCUCUGGGCGGUCUUAGACUUCACCUGGAGCCUCCUGUCCAGGAUGCGACCACCUAGGGAAAUUCCAGGGAAAGGUGGCAGAGAUAUCAUGGACUGAAAGGUGAUGGGUACCCCAAUGAGUUCACUACAAGAUCUCAAAGAUUCCAAGCCAUUGGCUGCUCCAAAGCAUAAAGCCACCCUUCUGGAGAGGCGGCAGGAAGGAAGCCUGGAGGAGGCUCCGCUGUUGGCCAGAGGAAGACCACCUUCUCAGGUGUCUGGGGGAACCGCUGAAGGACAGUGAGGGAGAUGUCGCUGGUCCCCAGGACAGAAACACAGCAGCUGGAACCAAGAAGCACUCAGAGUGGGACUCGAGCCCAGCACCCCUUCAGACUGAAGCUCUCUGAGAUACAUGUGCUUCCUGAUUGGACUGUUUUUGCUUUUCCAUCACCUGCAUAACACAGUUCUGGAUACUUUGGAAUGGUUGGCUUUCUUUCCUUUUUUAUCCUUCCCCCACCUCUACCCCCACCCCUGUCUUGUCUUUUUCUUCUCUUGGCCCUGAGAACUGUAAGAAGAGAAUUGCUUUGGAAAGUAUAAUUCUGUUGCUGAAAUUUGCCUUGUUUAUGAACAAAUUCUUUCCCUGAGGAUUUUCUGAAUUGCAAUCCCAGGUUACUUGGUAAAUGGGGCUGCAUGAUUUGAUUUGUGUAGUACUGAUCCUUAGAUUAAAAAUACAUUUUCUUUCUUUCUUUUUUCCCCCCAAGUUUUGGAUCCAGGUAAUGGCCCGAGUCACAUUUGCUUAGCUACUGAAGCGAUCUCAAUGUGGUAUCGCUUGGAGUUGAAACAUAAUCAAACAUACAUUAUACCUGGGGCUCUUGCAUGCUAUUUGAUAUAUAUGUUACACUACAAAGAAACACAAACCUUGUAGGUUGAAAUUUAAUUCCUGUCUGAUCCUAUAGUUAGAAUGGUGAGAAAUCACAAAAUAUCAAAAGUGGCUUCAAAUACCCUGAAUGUAAGCUAACCAACAAUAAAUGGACAGUUUGGAAAUGCCAUUUUCCAAGGCAAAGCAGGAAUUGGAGAUCAACUGACCUCAUCAACAGGGUUGCUUAGGUCUGUCUGUGGAUCUGCUCAAUUUGGAGGAAUCCAAGAACAAGGUCUCCUUCUGUGUUUGGGUUGACGGAAAUUGUGGCGUCUCUGACUUAAUGCUCUGUAACUGUGCCUGCCUUGCAAUAAAACACCUUUGGUUGACUCAGCAA